AGCGAACGCUGGCGGCAGGCCUAACACAUGCAAGUCGAACGAACUCUUCGGAGUUAGUGGCGGACGGGUGAGUAACACGUGGGAACGUUCCUUUAGGUUCGGAAUAACUCAGGGAAACUUGAGCUAAUACCGGAUGUGCCCUUCGGGGGAAAGAUUUAUCGCCUUUAGAGCGGCCCGCGUCUGAUUAGCUAGUUGGUGAGGUAAAGGCUCACCAAGGCGACGAUCAGUAGCUGGUCUGAGAGGAUGAUCAGCCACAUUGGGACUGAGACACGGCCCAAACUCCUACGGGAGGCAGCAGUGGGGAAUCUUGCGAAAUGGGCGAAAGCCUGACGCAGCCAUGCCGCGUGAAUGAUGAAGGUCUUAGGAUUGUAAAAUUCUUUCACCGGGGACGAUAAUGACGGUACCCGGAGAAGAAGCCCCGGCUAACUUCGUG
rnacentral:rRNA from 1 species